AUUGAGGGGAGGACGCGGUGCGGGCGCUGUCAGUUCGAGCCUAAAGGAGGGGUUGCACCCCCCCCCACUACAAAAUGGGCUCUACCGAGAGGGGGCGGGGCCUGAUUGAUGAUUGACUGCUGAUUCAGCCAAUGAGCCCUCGAGCUGAGGAGAAGGGCGGGCUGCGGUGGCAGCCUUAAGAUCUACCUCAGAUCUGCUGUGGCAGCGAGGUGUUGUGUCUGUGGUGGGGAGGUAUACUGUAAUGUUCUGAAGCAGGGUAAAGCUUGGAAUGGAAACAACAUCUGCCACAUUUAAAGCUUUGAAGCUGAAAAGAUUGAAAUGAGGAUUGGGAAAGAUUUCAAUGCUCUGAGUACAGGAGGGGGAAACAAAGAUGGAGAGAAUACAGGACUCACUGCAUCUACUUCCAUAUGGUUUGUGUUCACGUUGAGCUUGAAGCUAUGAAGGAACAGACUUAGCAGUAGUGCACCAGAAAUGCAGCAACAAAGCCCAGAUCUUUGAAGGCUCUGAAUUCGCUGUUCCAUUGCAGAUAUUACAGUUCUGCUCAGCUACCACAAGAGGGACGUAGAAGGAAAGCUAAGAUAGCCCAGGAGAAAAAAAAGAAAGCAAAUCGAAAGAACAGUUUCAUGCAGGUUCAGCUGCACUGUGGCUAUAAAAAAGUAUUCCUGAAGCAAACUGGAUGAUGAGCACUUUAAAGCAAUGGAGGAAAAGGAGAAGAUCUUGACGUUUCUUCAGUGAUCUCAGAUAAAGAAGAUACUUAGAUAUUAAGUUUCAUAGCCUGCUCCUCAGCUGCUAAGCCAGGGCAGAGGAAAAGCCAUUUUCCCACCCCAGGCUGUUGUUGGUUGCUGGGACUUCCUCAUGCUGACUGAUUUAAGACCUGCUGACAUGCCUUAGGAGCAUCCACACCCUGAUGGCAUCACCUCGGGACCUUCUCUGGACCUAAUCCAACCUGCCCUCUCUCUGCUAGGCUUCCAACAAUGCUUCCAAAUGGCUAACCUUUGCUUUUGGCUUUGCCCUGCCUCCUGCUUGAAGGGCAGCCAGUGUGACAAUGAAUGAUUGGAAAGAUUCUGGAAGUGCUAUGAAAAAAGAUGGAAGGAAAAUGAGUCCUUUCUUCCUUCUCCAUCCGGUGUCAUGCAGACUGGCAGUUAUCAAGUGGUGCCAUCUGAGAUUCAUGAUGAAGAGGCUAACAUGGAAGUGGAAUUUGCUUGGAUUCCUGGACCCUGAGCAAGGUUCAUGGCAACCCUUUGAACCCAUCAUGGAGUGUGGAAAGUGUGAACUGGGUCUGUUUGUACUAAAAAUGAAUUACCAGACUUAAUUUAUGGUCAAACAGGAGUUUUCAAAUUGUUUUUCAGUUUCCAUGAGUCCUAUGUCAUAUGGAAGAAACCCAGAGCACAGAAACACCGUAUGCAGUUGUUAGCAAAUGUUAUUAAGAAAAAUGAAAUCCUAUGCCUUUAUUUCAGCUAUAGUAUGAAGACUGAGCAUAGGUGCUCUGGGAAGCUUGCUGGCAAAUAAAUGGCAUUCCAAUCCCAGACAAGAUACUAACAUAUUAGGCCACUUUCUUGGCUGCAGGUUAUUAUAUGACUUUACUGGAAGAAAUUAUUGCAAAAAGGAUCUGAAAGUCUGCAAAGCAGUAAUUCUAAGUAGCGCUUUGGUAAUGAUGUCAUUUAAACAAGAAGUAAUAUUAAACAUUGGGCAAUGACCUUCUUUGGAUCAAGAGCAACACAAGGCCACUAGCCAGAAUGCAGAAUUUCUGCAGCAGGAGAAGUUGCACAGUAUAAUAAAAGUCUUGUGCAAAGUCCAAAGUAUGUAAGGUCAAGGUCAAAAACAAAAAGACCAUGUUAGAAUGACACUGAGGAGAGGCAGAAUAAAUAAGGCAGUAUUUUCUAUGACUGUGAAGGUUUGCAAGGAGAUGGAGUGGAGGAAGCAUUGUAAUUCUAGCCAUCUAUUGUGUAUAUUUAAGAUCAGUCUGUUAGUGUUCAAGUAAGAAACCAAAUCAUGGGUUAGCUGGAGCACUGGGAGAAUGUGAAUGAUUGUUGUGAUAUCAUAUGAAUCUUAAACUAUUUGUUCUUUGGGAACUUAAAUCCAGUUCUAACUUGCAUCCACCUCUCUACUGAGAAAGCAGAAAGGCUGACAUGAAACAAGGGACAUUAUUCUUAAUGGAUAUGUGGAAAUAUCAGAAAUGCCAUCUACAAACUGUGUUACUGUGGGUUUUUUCUUAAUGGAAUGACCCAUUAUGGAACUACACAUGGUCUGUAUUGAAGGAUCAAACUAAGGUAUGGAGAUUAACCCUUUGCUGUUAUGUUUGUGUAGCUUUAACUCAGUUCAUCUUUGAAUAGCUGGAGUCCUGGUCAGCUUCUUAGGAGGCUCCACACACCUCACCCCUUUUUUCCCUCCUUGUAUCACUCGUUCUGUGUUCCUUUAGAGGCCACCACAAAGCUCAUCUGAAAAAAGAAGAAAGGGAGGGGGCACCUGCAGGAAUAAAUGGCAAAAGCUCCUGGUUUAUAGCGAGGUUUAGAAGUGCAACUUGGAUCUUCUUAGAACAGUUUCUCUUCCCGCUGUGUUAGGAGUAACUCCCAGAUGUGACUUGAAGCCAGCAAAUGAUCUCAGGCAGUGAGAUCAGAUUUUGCUGAGUAUACAGGGUUAGACAUGUUCAUUGCUCUCCUUCCAGAAGAUCUCCUAUCCAAACCAUGCAUUGACAUUUGAUUUUCUUGGGAACAUUGGCCUUCACAGUAGCCUCUACAGCAUUUGUGUAUAGAAACCCACAGUUAACAAUGUUGUCUCUUGCCUUGCCAGUUGAAAAUUGCUUUUGUGAUGUCUAUUUAUUCACCUGAGGCGUGGGGUUCCUGGAAUUGUGUGUGCUUUCCUGGAAGAUGUAUUGGACAGUGUAAUGGCUUGUGCAGAAAGCAUUCAAAGACUGAAGCAAUGUCAAGGAGAGACAAGGCAGCUGGACUUUAGGGAGAGCUCUCAGAUUCCACUUUUAUGAUAGGUAUUUCUCUGGUCAUCAUUGUUUCAGGAACUCAAUGUCGCUUACACCCAAAGUGUUUUGGCUUGAAUAAAGGUUAAUGGAAGAAACCGAGUGCUGUGCUGGCCAAAAGCAAUUGGCCUUUAUUGAGGGAAGCAUUGCAAAAAUACAGAGGAUCGAACUUCUAGUUUCCAUGUGGAAUUAGAAUUAGCAAAAUCUUGUGACUAUUGCAAUUAGAUGCCAUCUUUGGAUGGAGCAAGUGGUUUAAGUGAAGCAGUGACUUAACUCUGAAUCUUUACCCAGAUCUUGAUACUGAAAAAUAUCAUGAAAAAGAUUGAUUUUGCUUUUAUGGCUGUUUUUCAGACUUUGGGUGGGGUGAGCAAAGGGAAUUGCCAGAAAUCUCCAGAGCCAGUUCAUUCCUCUGAGAUUUCUGGUCUGAUAUUUUCUUGAAAACUCAGGAGGUUUGGAUUAUUCUCCAGACUCCAUCUUUCUGGAGAGCUUCCCACUGCUUUUUAAGCCUGUGUACAUGAAUGCCAUUUUUCCAUUUCUCUAGGGGUGAAAAUAAACCGUAGUCUGAAUGAUGCUGAAUUUUCCUCUGAGUUUCAAAAUGAUGUACAAAGGAACACAAAUUUCAAAUAAAGCCAGUAAUCUCCAAUGUCUCAAAGCUUAUGAAAGUAGAAAGGGCUUGUGAAAAAGAGAUCUAUGGUGAGUUGGGCUGACACUGUAGCAUAGCAGGGAAAGCAUGUGUUUAACCAGUCGUUAUCUCCACAAUCAGUGAUAAUGAUGAAACAAGCCGUUCCAUAAAUGUUUCACAAACUGUUCACUUCAAGGCUGAUAGGCUUCUUGAGUUGAUCCUCUUGACUUGCACCUGCUAAUAACUUCCUAUGUAGUCUGGACAAGGUAACACAGGCAUUCCCUUCAGCACUGAGAAAGCUGCAAUUUGGAUCAUGUUCUUAAGUCAUACCUGUGUGCUUUUGGGCCUGACUGGAGAGAUACUUCUGCAUGAGAACUGCUGAGUAUUUAACACUGUUAUCUAACCAAAUGAUGAGAGCUCAGCUGCCUGGAUCUGUGCUAUUAUUUGUGUUUGAAAAUUCAUCUUCGUAUUGUAUGAGAUCUCUCUUCUGAAGGCGACAAAGUGAUCCUGCUUCUGAGGACGAUACCUGUCCUCCCCCACCCCCGGAGCGUGGGCCUUGUGAACAUCUUUGUCUAUUCAUACAUAUGACAGCUGUAAUUAUCUUUGACAGAAAGCCUGUGGAACACGUCAGGCAAACACUGGAAGUGGGGACAGCAGUGUGGAGAAUGUUCUGCCUUGUGAUGUGAUGGGCUCUAUCUAGAAGGCACUGGGUUUGUCAUCCUCUGCUUAUCCUUGAGGAGCUGGCAUUCUUUUGUGGUCAAGAUUUUGGGUGCAAGCAAUGAGGGCAUAAAAGGCAGUUUCCAGGAAGACGAUUCAUUUGUAUUUGUUCAGAGUCUAACAGAAGUAUUUAAGCAGUUGAAGUGAGAUAUAAGCAAAAAAGAUUGAGAGGCAAUGUUUUGCUUUACCACCAUCAUGAGAGGGAAAAAAUUACUUUGUUUGUUUGUUUUUUAAGUUAAGGCUUUGCUAUAAUGAUAACCACAUAUUCUUUUUUCAUAUUAAAGAUUCUCAUUUUUCCAUAUGAAUAAAGAAGCCACUUUUAAAUACA